rnacentral:lncRNA from 1 species
UUCCUCCAGACUUUGGAGACUCUUGGUGAGUAAAAUUCUUAUUUUCAUGGCAAUAUAGUUAUUUACAUAAGUUCAAUAAGAAUCUUUUCUCCUUAUAGUAGGACACAAUGGGAAACAUUGGUUAUAUUACCAAAGCUUCGACUGGAAUGUCAUAUUAGAGAGAAACAUGCAGACUCAGAUAUGACCAGACAGCUAAGAAACAAAGAUUGACUUUAUCAAAUAAAGCAAUUUGGAAUUUGGCCUGGUACCUUUCUUACAGGAUUCCAAGCAACCUUACUGGAACUGAAAACAAUCUUUUUCCUGGAGCCCUGCAAACUAACGCUGGACAACUUGAUAGAAACUGUUUUCAAUGAGAUCAUCGAACACCAAAACCUGAGUCUUUAAUCCCACUGCCAGAAAGAAAUAAAAUACAAAGAAACCUUCCAUGGAAAACAUGUAAUAACAUGAAAGUUUGCUCUUACCAGCAAAAGCCAAAAUAUGAAAAUCCAGACUGCAAAACUGCUAAACUGUGGUUGAAAUCUUUU